rnacentral:rRNA from 1 species
GAUGAACGCUAUCUACAGGCUUAACACAUGCAAGUCGAGGGGCAGCAUGGUCUUAGCUUGCUAAGGCCGAUGGCGACCGGCGCACGGGUGAGUAACACGUAUCCAACCUGCCGUCUACUCUUGGACAGCCUUCUGAAAGGAAGAUUAAUACAAGAUGGCAUCAUGAGUCCGCAUGUUCACAUGAUUAAAGGUAUUCCGGUAGACGAUGGGGAUGCGUUCCAUUAGAUAGUAGGCGGGGUAACGGCCCACCUAGUCUUCGAUGGAUAGGGGUUCUGAGAGGAAGGUCCCCCACAUUGGAACUGAGACACGGUCCAAACUCCUACGGGAGGCAGCAGUGAGGAAUAUUGGUCAAUGGGCGCAGGCCUGAACCAGCCAAGUAGCGUGAAGGAUGACUGCCCUAUGGGUUGUAAACUUCUUUUAUAGAGGAAUAAAGUCGGGUAUGGAUACCCGUUUGCAUGUACUUUAUGAAUAAGGAUCGGCUAACUCCGUGCCAGCAGCCGCGGUAAUACGGAGGAUCCGAGCGUUAUCCGGAUUUAUUGGGUUUAAAGGGAGCGUAGAUGGAUGUUUAAGUCAGUUGUGAAAGUUUGCAGCUCAACCGUAAAAUUGCAGUUGAUACUGGAUAUCUUGAGUGCAGUUGAGGCAGGCGGAAUUCGUGGUGUAGCGGUGAAAUGCUUAGAUAUCACGAAGAACUCCGAUUGCGAAGGCAGCCUGCUAAGCUGCAACUGACAUUGAGGCUCGAAAGUGUGGGUAUCAAACAGGAUUAGAUACCCUGGUAGUCCACACGGUAAACGAUGAAUACUCGCUGUUUGCGAUAUACAGCAAGCGGCCAAGCGAAAGCGUUAAGUAUUCCACCUGGGGAGUACGCCGGCAACGGUGAAACUCAAAGGAAUUGACGGGGGCCCGCACAAGCGGAGGAACAUGUGGUUUAAUUCGAUGAUACGCGAGGAACCUUACCCGGGCUUAAAUUGCAGAUGAAUUACGGUGAAAGCCGUAAGCCGCAAGGCAUCUGUGAAGGUGCUGCAUGGUUGUCGUCAGCUCGUGCCGUGAGGUGUCGGCUUAAGUGCCAUAACGAGCGCAACCCUUGUUGUCAGUUACUAACAGGUUCCGCUGAGAACUCUGACAAGACUGCCAUCGUAAGAUGUGAGGAAGGUGGGGAUGACGUCAAAUCAGCACGGCCCUUACGUCCGGGGCUACACACGUGUUACAAUGGGGGGUACAGAGGGCCGCUACCACGCGAGUGGAUGCCAAUCCCCAAAACCUCUCUCAGUUCGGACUGGAGUCUGCAACCCGACUCCACGAAGCUGGAUUCGCUAGUAAUCGCGCAUCAGCCACGGCGCGGUGAAUACGUUCCCGGGCCUUGUACACACCGCCCGUCAAGCCAUGGGAGCCGGGGGUACCUGAAGUGCGUAACCGCGAGGAGCGCCCUAGGGUACAACUGGUGACUGGGGCUAAGUCAUAACAAGG